AGUCGAACGAUGAAGCCCAGCUUGCUGGGUGGAUUAGUGGCGAACGGGUGAGUAACACGUGAGUAACCUGCCCCUGACUCUGGGAUAGCCCGGGAAACUGGGUCUAUACCGGAUAUGACCAUGGGACGCAUGUCUUGUGGGGAAAGAUUUAUCGGUUGGGGAUGGACUCCGGCCUAUCAGCUUGUUGGUGAGGUAAUGGCUACCAUUAGGCGACACGGGUAGCCGGCCUGAGAGGGUGACCGGCCACACUGGGACUGAGACACGGCCCAGACUCCUACGGGAGGCAGCAGUGGGGAAUAUUGCACAAUGGGCGCAAGCCUGAUCAGCGACUGCCGCGUGAGGGAUGACGGCCUUCGGGUUGUAAACCUCUUUCAGUAGGGAAGAAGUCGAGAGUGACGGUACCUGCAGAAGAAGCGCCGGCUAACUACGUGCCACAGCCGCGGAAUACGUAGGGCGCAAGCGUUAUCCGGAUUUAUUGGGCGUAAAGAGCUCGUGGCGGUUUGUCGCGUCUGCCGUGAAAGUCCGAGGCUCAACCUCGGAUCUGCGGUGGGUACGGGCAGACUAGAGUGAUGUAGGGGAGACUGGAAUUCCUGGUUGUAGCGGUGAAAUGCGCAGAUAUCAGGAGGAACACCGAUGGCGAAGGCAGGUCUCUGUGGCAUUUACUGACGCUGAGGAGCGAAAGCAUGGGGAGCGAACAGGAUUAGAUACCCUGGUAGUCCAUGCCGUAAACGUUGGGCACUAGGUGUGGGGGACAUUCCACGUUUUCCGCGCCGUAGCUAACGCAUUAAGUGCCCCGCCUGGGGAGUACGGCCGCAAGGCUAAAACUCAAAGGAAUUGACGGGGGCCCCGCACAAGCGGCGGAGCAUGCGGAUUAAUUCGAUGCAACGCGAAGAACCUUACCAAGGCUUGACAUGUUCCCAGACCGCCUCAGAGAUGGGGUUUCCCUUCGGGGCUGGUUCACAGGUGGUGCAUGGUUGUCGUCAGCUCGUGUCGUGAGAUGUGGGUUAAUGUCCCGCAACGAGCGCAACCCUCGUUCCAUGUUGCCAGCGGGUUAUGCCGGGGACUCAUGGGAGACUGCCGGGGUCAACCGGAGGAAGGUGGGGAUGACGUCAAAUCAUCAUGCCCCUUAUGUCUUGGGCUUCACGCAUUGCUACAAUGGCCGGUACAAUGGGUUGCGAACUGUGAGGUGGAGCUAAUCCUAAAAGCCGGUCUCAGUUCGGAUUGGGUCUGCAAUCUCGACCCCAUGAAGUCGGAGUCGCUAUAAUCCGAGAUCAGCAACGCUGCGGUGAAUACGUUCCCGGGCCUUUGUACACACCGCCCGUCAAGUCACGAAAGUUGGUAACACCCGAAGCCGAUGGCCUAACCACCUUGUGUGGGGGGAGUCGGUCGAAGGG
rnacentral:rRNA from 1 species